rnacentral:rRNA from 1 species
AUGGUAGGAUCACAAGCUGAUGAGACUAAUUGGGAGAACUUGACGAACAAACAGCUACAUGAUAAAUUUCAGCAAAUGAUGAGUGGACAGGUGCAAGAUGUGCUAAACAGAUUUGACGAGGCCAUGGAGAAGGUAGAUGGCAUUGAGAAGACAUUCGAAACGAAGCUUGAUAGCAAGUUUAAUGAAUUGCUCGCACGUUUUCCACCACCACCGCCGGCUGCACCUAUCGCACCUCUGCAACAACAACAACAACGCCUCUUUCCGAAUCAAUAUGGACGAGCGAAGCGUGUUCCUAUUGAGGAUGGCCAAACUUCUGGUGCUGCUGUUCCUGUUGUUGAUGCUUCUUUGGCUCGUUCUACUGCGAGGAUGAGGUUGAUCAAAAUCCGAACUACGUGCAGCCACCAGCACCACCACCAGCAGGUCGACCUCAGGUAUAUAUUCGUAAUGGUAGGCCUGCACCACCACCUCAGGUACGAGAUGACGUCCAUAUUCCUAAACUGA